rnacentral:rRNA from 1 species
CUACGGGGGGCUCCAGUGGGGAAUAUUGGGCAAUGGAGGAAACUCUGACCCAGCGACGCCGCGUGCGGGAUGAAGGCCUUCGGGUUGUAAACCGCUUUCAGCAGGGAAUAAGCGAAAGUGAAGGUACCUGCAGAAGAAGCACCGGCUAACUAUGUGCCAGCAGCCGCGGUAAUACAUAGGGUGCAAGCGUUGUCCGGAAUUAUUGGGCGUAAAGAGCUCGUAGGUGGUUUGUUACGUCGGAUGUGAAAUGCAGGGGCUCAACCCCUGACUUGCAUCCGCUACGGGCAAGCUAGAGUUUGGUAGGGGAGACUGGAAUUCCUGGUGUAGCGGUGGAAUGCGCAGAUAUCAGGAGGAACACCGAUGGCGAAGGCAGGUCUCUGGGCCAAUACUGACACUGAGGAGCGAAAGCGUGGGGAGCGAACAGGAUUAGAUACCCUGGUAGUC